rnacentral:rRNA from 1 species
GACGAACGCUGGCGGCGUGCUUAACACAUGCAAGUCGAACGAAGAGCGAUGGAAGCUUGCUUCUAUCAAUCUUAGUGGCGAACGGGUGAGUAACGCGUAAUCAACCUGCCCUUCAGAGGGGGACAACAGUUGGAAACGACUGCUAAUACCGCAUACGAUCUAAUCUCGGCAUCGAGGAUAGAUGAAAGGUGGCCUCUACAUGUAAGCUAUCACUGAAGGAGGGGAUUGCGUCUGAUUAGCUAGUUGGAGGGGUAACGGCCCACCAAGGCGAUGAUCAGUAGCCGGUCUGAGAGGAUGAACGGCCACAUUGGGACUGAGACACGGCCCAGACUCCUACGGGAGGCAGCAGUGGGGAAUCUUCCGCAAUGGACGAAAGUCUGACGGAGCAACGCCGCGUGAGUGAUGACGGCCUUCGGGUUGUAAAGCUCUGUUAAUCGGGACGAAAGGCCUUCUUGCGAACAGUGAG